rnacentral:tRNA from 1 species
GGCCCUUUAGCUCAGCGGUGAGAGCAUGCGGCUCAUAACCGCUUGGUCGCCGGUUCAAAUCCGGCAGGGGUCACCA